rnacentral:misc_RNA from 2 species
AACGCAUAUUGCGCCCCUUGGUAUUCCUUGGGGCACACCUGUUCGAGCGUCAUUUCACCAAUCAAGCCUCGCUUGGUUUUGGGCGAUGCGCACGUCGCACGCCUCAAAUGCCCCGGCCGAGCAGUCUCUCACCCGGCGUCGUGGAAACAUACCGCUACGGAGACGAGACCUGCCCGUGCCGCAGAAUAACCUAUUAACAAAGGUUGACCUCGGAUCAGGUGGGGAUACCCGCUGAACUUAA